rnacentral:rRNA from 1 species
CCUACGGGUGGCAGCAGUGGGGAAUAUUGCACAAUGGGGGAAACCCUGAUGCAGCGACGCCGCGUGAGGGAAGAAGGAUUUCGGUAUGUAAAGCUCUAUCAGCAGGGAAGAAAAUGACGGUACGUGAUUAAGAAGCCCAGGCUAAAUACGUGCCAGCAGCCGCGGGAAUACGUAGGGGGCAAGCGUUAUCCGGAUUUACUGGGUGUAAAGGGAGCGUAGACGGUGAUGCAAGUCAGAAGUGAAAGCCCGGGGCUCAACUCCGGGACUGCUGUUGAAACUGGGUGACUGGAGUGCAGGAGAGGUAAGCGGAAUUCCGGGUGUAGCGGUGAAAUGCGUAGAUAUCCGGAGGAACACCGGUGGCGAAGGCGGCUUACUGGACUGUAACUGACGUUGAGGCUCGAAAGCGUGGGGAGCAAACAGGAUUAGAUACCCGGGUAGUC